GUUCCCUAGAAAAAACGUACCUCAUGUCAUCCUCAAGCACAAAGCGUACAACAUAAAAGUUGUUUUCCAGGUCAAUCAAACUCAUUGCACCUUUCAAAAGACUCCAUUUUUGUCUUAGACGAGCUAAUAGGAAGCUAUAUGUAUGGGUCCUGCCCAUUAGUUUGAUUAUAAUUGCGUUCCGCCAGGGACGGUAGAGUCGUUCCUUCACCUUGGUGCAAAAGCGUAUGCAAGGACCACGAGUACCCUCUGAGACUAAAAAAUCAUCAUCCUCUAUUGUGAGUUUAUCUUCCUCCAUACCCACCAGAUCCUCCUUAUGCACUCCGAUCCCACCUGGGUUCAUGAGCUUUUCACGAAAAUUCAUUAUAGGUUUCGGCGCUACAGUAGGAAAAGGCUCAACCUCCAUAGCUCCCGCAUCAGUACCAUCAGGUUCAAGGAUACGGCUUCUCUCAACACCAGCAGAUUCAAAAGACCCUCCACUUCCCGGAAGUCGGGAAGUAGAGACAGUGAAGUCAAUGGCGUCGCCACCGUGUAAUCGGCAGAUUUUGGAAAAAAGGUGAUUUUGGGAUGCAGCUUGUGUAGCGCGUUCAAAUCUCCAGCUGAUUCUGGACUUCUUUGAGCUGUGGCCUCUGAAAUUUCAAUGUAAGGCAAAUGGUGUUACCCAGUAAAAUUCAUAGCAAGCCACACAAGAGGUGUAUUACAUCAUGUUAUUCCGAGAAUUGGUGAACAGAAGGAGACUUCUACCUAACAUUGGGCUUCGAUUUCUGGAGCUAGAAGGAGGGUUGUUGCUUAUGACUCAGGCUGGAUUGGGUGUAACUAUGCUGGAUUCAAACUUCAGUACCUUCAACUGAUGAGGUUCAAUUGGAAAUCAAUACCAAUGUCGGGAUUGGCAGAGUUCCUAAUCUAUUCUAGCCAUGGGGAGGCUUGCAGGAUAGACAGAAUUGAGAUUUCUUCAGUCUGAACAGGGUUGUGAGUGGCUGGAUUGAUGAUUAUUGACCUGGAGCUAUACUACAACACCGAUUCUGCUUGAUUAUGAAUCAUCCAAGAGCUAUUCUGGCGAUUCUGAGAGCUCAAGAUAUCUUUGUAAAUUUGUUGAGGUUUUCGUGUAAUCAAAAACCCGAAUUCUACUUGAUUUGGCUUGUGUUAAACCAAGUUUAUAACGAGAGAAAUCUAAUUUUCUUUGUAAACUGUUUUUGUGAAUUGAACUGAAAUCAAAAACCUGAGUUCUGGCUAA